UUGUUGCUGAACGUGAAGGAUAACGUUGCGUCAGCAACGGCCCGAAGGGCGAGGCGAAGUCGAGUCAUCCUGCACGACCCACCA
rnacentral:sRNA from 1 species